rnacentral:rRNA from 1 species
UACGUAGGGUGCAAGCGUUGUCCGGAAUCACUGGGCGUAAAGGGCGCGUAGGCGGCUCAUGAAGGCUGUGGUGAAAGUCCGGGGCUCAACCUCGGAUCGGCCGUGGCGACUCGUGGGCUGGAGCACUGUAGAGGCGGGUGGAAUUCCGGGUGUAGCGGUGGAAUGCGUAGAGAUCCGGAAGAACACCAGUGGCGAAGGCGGCCCGCUGGGCAGUGGCUGACGCUGAGGCGCGAAAGCGUGGGGAGCAAACAGG